rnacentral:rRNA from 1 species
GACGAACGCUGGCGGCGUGCCUAAUACAUGCAAGUCGAACGCAGUGGGGACGGGUGAGUAACACGUGGGUAACCUCCCAUCAGAGGGGAUAAACAUUGGAAACAGGUGCUAAACGGUUACCGAGGGAUGAUCAGGCGGUGCAUUAGCUAGUUGGUGAGGUAACGGCUCACCAAGGCCACGAGGCAUAGCCGACCUGGGAGGGUGAUCGGCCACACUGGAACUGAGACACGGCCCAGACUCCUACGGGAGGCAGCAGUAGGGAAUCUUCGGCAAUGGACGAAAGUCUGACCGAGCAACGCCGCGGGAGUGAAGAAGGUUUUCGGAUCGUAAAACUCUGUUGUUAGAGAAGCGGUAUCUAACCAGAAAGCCACGGCUAACUACGUGCCAGCAGCCGCGGUAAUUC